GUGCCUUGGCAGCACAGAUACUAAAACUGGAAUGACACAGAGAGGAUUAGCAUGGUCCCUGCACGAGGAUGACACACAAAUUUGUGAAGUGUCCCAUUAAAAA
ensembl:snRNA U6 U6 spliceosomal RNA